GGAAGUAAAAGUCGUAACAAGAUCUCCGUAGGUGAACCUGCGGAGGGAUCAUUACAGAGUUCUCGCCCUCACGGGUAGAUCUCCCACCCACUGUUAUCGUUACUGUCGUUUCUUUGGCGGGCCGCCGGGUCCCCGGCCGCCGGCGCCUAGCUGCCGGCGCGCGCCCGCCAGAGGCCUUCAAACUCUGAUGUUAGUGUCGUCUGAGUACUAUAUAAUAGUUAAAACUUUCAACAACGGAUCUCUUGGUUCUG
rnacentral:misc_RNA from 1 species